rnacentral:misc_RNA from 1 species
UUUUUUUUUAACUCCAGAGAUGGAGAAGACUAAAGAGCAUCACUGAAAGGUGAGAUAGCUGCUCCAUUAUGAAACAGAAAAAAUGGUGAUAGUAUGUAUAUAAGUUUCCACCAAUCCCGAUCCCCGCUCAACAUUUAAUUUUCUUCCCAUGCACAUCAACUUAGUACCAGGGGCGGAGGUAGAAGUCCUGAUAUGAGUUUGGAUGAACUCAGUAGCUUUUGCUCAAACUGUGUAUUUGUGUUAAGA